rnacentral:rRNA from 1 species
CGGAAGGAUCAUUAUCGAGGAGCUUCGGCUCCAUCGAGAUAACACCCUUGCCCUUACGAGCACCUAUCCGUUUCCUCGGCGGUCAUCGGCCGCCAACGGGGACCCCUCAAACGCUUUGCAAUGAGAAGUAAACCGUCUGAUACAAAACAAAAUUAUCACAACUUUCAACGAUGGAUCUCUUGGCUCUGGCAUCGAUGAAGAACGCAGCGAAAUGCGAUAAGUAGUGUGAAUUGCAGAAUUCCGUGAAUCAUCGAAUCUUUGAACGCACAUUGCGCCCUUUGGCAUUCCAUAGGGCAUGCCUGUUCGAGCGUCAUUUCAAACCUCAAGCUCCGCUUGGUCUUGGGCGAUCGUCCCGCCUCCGCGCGCGGACCCGCCUCAAAUGCAUUGGCGGCCGGCAAUCCGGGCUAUGAGCGCAGCAGAAUCGCGCCUCUAACCGGGUAGCAGGCGCUCCAGCAAGCACCUCUCCACGUUUUGACCUCGGAUCAGGCAGGGUUACCCGCUGAACUUAAGCAUA